GUAGUCCACGCCGUAAACGAUGAGCACUAGGUGUCGGGGUCGUAAGACUUCGGUGCCGCAGUUAACGCAAUAAGUGCUCCGCCUGGGGAGUACGUUCGCAAGAAUGAAACUCAAAGGAAUUGACGGGGACCCGCACAAGCAGCGGAGCAUGUGGUUUAAUUCGAAGCAACGCGAAGAACCUUACCAGGGCUUGACAUCUCCUUGACCGGUCGGUAAAGCGACCUUUCUUCGGACAAGGAUGACAGGUGGUGCAUGGUUGUCGUCAGCUCGUGUCGUGAGAUGUUGGGUUAAGUCCCGCAACGAGCGCAACCCUUGUCAUUAGUUGCCAUCAUUAAGUUGGGCACUCUAGUGAGACUGCCGGGGAUAACCUGGAGGAAGGUGGGGAUGACGUCAAAUCAUCAUGCCCCUUAUGCUUAGGGCUACACACGUGCUACAAUGGGUGGUACAGAGGGCAGCCAAGUCGUGAGGCGGAGCUAAUCCCUUAAAGCCAUUCUCAGUUCGGAUUGUAGGCUGAAACUCGCCUACAUGAAGCUGGAGUUACUAGUAAUCGCAGAUCAGAAUGCUGCGGUGAAUGCGUUCCCGGGUCUUGUACACACCGCCCGUCACACCACGGAAGUUGGGGGCGCCCGAAGCCGGAUUGCUAACCUUUUGGAAGCGUCCGUCGAAGGUGAAAUCAAUAACUGGGGUG
rnacentral:rRNA from 1 species